rnacentral:rRNA from 1 species
GACGAACGCUGGUGGCGUGCUUAACACAUGCAAGUCGAACGGUGAAGCCCAGCUUGCUGGGUGGAUCAGUGGCGAACGGGUGAGUAACACGUGAGCAACCUGCCCUCCACUUCGGGAUAAGCCUUGGAAACGAGGUCUAAUACCGGAUAUGAGCGCCUGCCGCAUGGUGGGUGUUGGAAAGUUUUUCGGUGGGGGAUGGGCUCGCGGCCUAUCAGCUUGUUGGUGGGGUAAUGGCCUACCAAGGCGUCGACGGGUAGCCGGCCUGAGAGGGCGACCGGCCACACUGGGACUGAGACACGGCCCAGACUCCUACGGGAGGCAGCAGUGGGGAAUAUUGCACAAUGGGCGCAAGCCUGAUGCAGCGACGCCGCGUGAGGGAUGACGGCCUUCGGGUUGUAAACCUCUUUCAGCAUCGACGAAGCGAAAGUGACGGUAGGUGCAGAAGAAGGACCGGCCAACUACGUGCCAGCAGCCGCGGUAA